ACACGCUGUAGAGAAAAACUCAUUAUUAAUCUUGGCCAAGUCAUAAAACAAACAAAAAAAGGGACAAUAACCCCUGGCAGGAGAGUAUCAGAAAUAAAUGCUGUUACAAUGUAUUAUUUAAAAUGUCCAGUUUUAAACAGGAAAGUAUGGCUUAUCUAGUAUAAAAAAAAAAAUACUCAGUAUAAACAGAAGCUAUUUCCAAGGGUUCCCAAAUGUUGGACUUAACAGACAGACUUCAAAGCAGCCAAUAAAAAUACAUCUUCAAAGAACAAAAGAAAACCGUGUUUAAUCAAAGCAUGAAAACAAUGACUAAUCAGAGAACACUUAAUAAAGAGAUCAACAUUUUUUAAAAAAUGGAAAUUCUGGAGUUGAAAAGUAACUAAAGUGAAAGCUUCAUUAGAGGGACAACAGCAAACUUGAAUGCAGAAGGAAGAAUCAGUGAACUCAAAGAUAAAUCAAUACAAAUUACACAAUCUGAAGAACAGAAGUGAGAAUGAAAAAUGAACCAAGUAGGAAAUCUGUGGGUUACAAUCAAUACCAACAUAUGCAUAAUGGGAAUCCCAGAAGAAAAGAAUAGUGAGGGCCAUACAAGUUUUGACAUCUUUUGAAGAGUCAUAGAAGUUUUUAAUGUCUGAAAACAUUCCAAAUUUAGUAAGAAGUAUAAAUCUGUAUAUCCAAGUAUCUCAAUAAAAUCCAAGUAGAAUAAACAUUAAAAUAUCCACACCGAUACACAUCAAAAUCUUGAAAGCAGCAAGAGAAAAAUGGACUUAUCAUGCACAGGGGAACCCCAGUAAAAUUAGCAGCUGACUUCUCAAAAGAAACAAUGAAGGCCAGAAUUAAGUGGUAUAACAUACUCUACUGUCAAACAAGAAUUCUAAAUCCAGUAAAACUAUCCUUCAAAAAAGAGGACAAAAAUAAAGAUCUUCCCAGAUAGACAAAGAGAAUUUGUUGCCACCAAAAUUUUUUUUACAAGAUAUGCUAAAGCAAGUACUUCAGGCUGAAAGGAAACACCACCAGAUGGUAACUUGAAUCCACAUAAAAAAUUAAAGUACCAGUAAAAGUAAUUAUGUAGGCAAAUGUAAAAAAUAGAAAAAAUACUCUUUUUAAGUUUUCUUCUCUUACUUAAAAGAUAAUUGCAUGGAAAAAUAAUGAACCCAUAUAGUUAUAAAUAAUAAA
rnacentral:lncRNA from 10 species